rnacentral:rRNA from 1 species
AUGAGGGGGAGGAGGAGGGGGAGCAGCGGCACGGCCACCGACUUCCUCGUCUGCUUCCCGCCGCGGGCGCACCUGGCGCUGAUGCCGCCCAAGACGGCCUGCAGCCCGUCGCGGCCGUCCGCGAGCUCCGAGCGCCGGCACAGCACCAGCGGCGCCCGGCCGUCGUCGUCGUCGUCCAGGGCGGCCACCAACAGGAACCCGAGCCGGCGCCACCACGCCGUGGACGUCGGCGAGGACAACGAGCCGUCGUCGCCCAAGGUGACGUGCGCGGGGCAGAUCAAGGUCUCCCGGUCGGCCAAGCCCAAGGCCGCCGGUGCUGGCGGGAAGAAGAAGGCCACGUGGAUGCAGGCGCUCGGGAUCAAGAAGGACGCCCUGCCCUUCCUCAACGCCCUGCACGGCGCCUUCCGGCUCAACGUCUCCGGCUGCUUCGGCAGGUUCCCCGGAGCCGUCGUGGAGUACACCUCCGGGGAGGAGGACGAGGAGGAGGAGGAGCACGUGGAGCGCGCGGGGAAGGAGACGGAUCGGCGCCACGGCGACGCAUUGGCCAAGUGGUUCAUGGUGCUCGAGGAAGGCAAGAGGGCUCCCAACAAGAACCAGGAGCACGAGCUACCUCACGAGGAGCAGGAGAAAGAAGACGCGGCGCCGCCGGCGAACGCGCUGAUGCUGAUGCGGUGCCGGUCGGCGCCGGCGAAGGGGCUGGCGAGGAGGCUAGGAGUAGCCGACGCAGGGGAGGACGAGGAGGCCAAGAGCGACAGCAACAAGGCAAGGGAGGAAGAGCCGGAGAAGGAGAACCUGGUGGUGAUGAGGUACCCGCCCGACUUCUUCCAGGUGUCCAUGGACAUCGCCAAGGAGACAUGGAUCGUCGGCGGCGACGACUCGGUCCUACGCUGCCGGAGCUGGAAGAAAUGA